rnacentral:rRNA from 1 species
UACGUAGGGUGCGAGCGUUAAUCGGAAUUACUGGGCGUAAAGCGUGCGCAGGCGGUUCGUUGUGUCGGCGGUGAAAGCCCCGGGCUUAACCUGGGAAUGGCCGUUGAAACUGGCGAACUGGAGUGUGGCAGAGGGGGGUGGAGUUCCGCGUGUAGCAGUGAAAUGCGUGGAGAUGCGGAGGAACACCGAUGGCGAAGGCAGCCCCCUGGGCUAACACUGACGCUCAGGCACGAAAGCGUGGGGAGCAAACAGG